ACUAGGGCAAAGAGAAGAGUGGUGCAAAGAGAAAAAAGAGCAGUGGGAACAAUAGGAGCUAUGUUCCUUGGGUUCUUGGGAGCAGCAGGAAGCACUAUGGGCGCAGGCUCAAUAACGCUAACGGUACAGGCCAGACACUUAUUGUCUGGUAUAGUGCAACAGCAAAACAAUUUGCUGAGGGCUAUUGAGGCGCAACAGCAUCUGUUGCAACUCACGGUCUGGGGCAUCAAACAGCUCCAGGCAAGAGUCCUGGCUGUGGAAAGAUACCUAAGGGAUCAACAGCUCCUAGGAAUUUGGGGAUGCUCUGGAAAACUCAUUUGCACCACUACUGUGCCUUGGA
rfam:Human immunodeficiency virus type 1, isolate RF (HAT-3), complete genome.